rnacentral:rRNA from 1 species
AGCGAACGCUGGCGGCAGGCCUAACACAUGCAAGUCGAACGGAUCCUUCGGGAUUAGUGGCGGACGGGUGAGUAACACGUGGGAACGUGCCUUUUGGUUCGGAACAACGCAGAGAAAUUUGCGCUAAUACCGAAUGUGCCCUUCGGGGGAAAGAUUUAUCGCCAUUAGAGCGGCCCGCGUCUGAUUAGCUAGUUGGUGAGGUAAAGGCUCACCAAGGCUACGAUCAGUAGCUGGUCUGAGAGGAUGAUCAGCCACAUUGGGACUGAGACACGGCCCAAACUCCUACGGGAGGCAGCAGUGGGGAAUCUUGCGCAAUGGGCGAAAGCCUGACGCAGCCAUGCCGCGUGAAUGAUGAAGGUCUUAGGAUUGUAAAAUUCUUUCUACCGGGGACGAUAAUGACGGUACCCGGAGAAGAAGCCCCGGCUAACUUCGUGCCAGCAGCCGCGGUAAU